rnacentral:rRNA from 1 species
AAAGGAAUUGACGGGGGCCCGCACAAGCAGUGGAUUAUGUGGUUUAAUUCGAAGCAACGCGAAGAACCUUACCGGGGCUUGACAUCUAACUAACGAGGCAGAGAUGCGUUAGGUGCCCUUCGGGGAAAGUUAAGACAGGUGGUGCAUGGUUGUCGUCAGCUCGUGUCGUGAGAUGUUGGGUUAAGUCCCGCAACGAGCGCAACCCCUAUUGUUAGUUGCUACGCAAGAGCACUCUAGCGAGACUGCCGUUGACAAAACGGAGGAAGGCGGGGACGACGUCAAAUCAUCAUGCCCCUUAUGUCCCGGGCUACACACGUAAUACAAUGGCGGAAAACAAAGGGAAGCGAAGUCGCGAGGUGGAGCAAAUCCCCAAAAGCCGUCUCAGUUCGGAUUGCAGGCUGCAACUCGCCUGCAUGAAGUCGGAAUUGCUAGUAAUCGCGGAUCAGCACGCCGCGGUGAAUACGUUCCCGGGCCUUGUACACACCGCCCGU